AAACAACCAUAGGAUCCGUCUCCCGUCUUAUGCCGUCGAUUUUCGUCGCUCUCCUCUCCCACACCUGUUAACACCAGAAAAAACACUCAACCGCCGAGGAGCCCACCCGACCUAUCUCUCUUCUAGCCCUACCUCUCUCCUAAUCUGGGCAUCGACGAUCGACAUAGCAGAUAACACUCAACAUCGCCCACCCCCUCUCUUCCCAUCUCGCGGGAAGCAGAGGAGACCGGCCUCUUCCAGAUCGGCCCCGGGGUCACCGACGCGGACGACCGAGGGACUCGGCGCUGCCGGUCGGAGCUACAUCGCCCACGAUGUCGAGUAGGGCAUGUGCAAGAGCUCUUGGCCUUCUGGGGCUGCCGCCGCAUGACUUGUAUCGUCAGGCCGUCAUGGUGUCGGCCAGCCGCCGGCUACACACGGGUCUUCAGGUCGGCAGCGGCAACUUGGGACUUGGAGAGUAGCUUUUUGUGGUAGGGCAUGCACAAGAGGCGUGACCUGCUGGUAGCUGUCCAGGAUUCGUCUACACGGGCCACUGAAGCAGGGAAUUCAGGCCAGGGGAUCAAUUUGUAAUCACGGUUAAACAAAUUAUAAUCAAGAUCUUAACAGGCUAACUGAAUUCGAUUGGGCCAUCAUCACAAGCAUGUCCGCAACUAGACCUCAAUGGCUCCAACAGUAUGGACCUGUAGGUAUUUGAUGUUUUGAUCUACCAGUUUAUGCAUUCAGGUAUAACUUAGGCUAAGCAAUACUACUUUCAUUGGGUUUUCAGUACUUGUAUUUAAUGUGCGUACAGAGAUUCCGAAAUAGCUAUUUCCAUAUUUGAUUGUUCUGAAUGAAUAGUGCCUGCAAAACUUGCACCAUGCUACUAAAAUGUUUGCAACAUAUGGACACGGAUUUUGAGGACAUGCGGCCACCCGCUGCCGUUAUCUCAUGCGUCGGCAGCGCGUCGUGAUCGAUAGCUAAUAUAGCAUCUUGCCUCCCAACUUGCAAUACUACACAGUGCUAAUUUCUUAUGAAAUGGGAAUACGCCUGUUAUACCCUCACGCGUGUGGGCACGCGUGUGGGCCCGCACACAUUUAUCAUAGUAGGAAUACAUCCUUGUCCGUUAGUGAUUCAUCCUGCGAGGGACGCCCGUCCGGGGUGGGUCAUAACUGCUCCGCUGCAGUGCGUGUUAAUUGAAGUAAUCAAUUCAUGAUGGGUGUCGUUAUUCGGUUCAGGGGAGCUGGGCAAUGGCUUCAAUUGGGCAAUUUAUGGCAUACACUGCUGUUUGGUGUACACACAGGCACAGUUACACUCGAUGUAUUUGCACACGUUUUGUGAUUAGAGACGGGCUAAUUGCAGCAGGGGCGUCGGUCCACAAAGGUGGCUAAAUAAUUUAUUGAUAGACCAGCUCGCAGCCUGCAUGAGCAAGCUAAACGUACUGGGUGAUACAUGCAGCUCGGCCAGCAAAAAGUAGAACAUAUGAAAAAAACAGCAGUCCCUACGCAGAGGGGAUAAGCUAUGUAGUUCUGAGGAGGCAGCUCAUGGCCAAGGCCAUGCGCGGGAUGCAUGAAGUGCACUGAGCAGAAGAAGAUGAACACAUGUAUGACUACGACGCUUCCUACGCAGCCGGAAUGAUACUUUAGGGCUUGUGGGGGAAGAUAGUGACCAUGACCAUCAAGUUCGCGAGGCACAACAUGAAAAUGUUCUUUAGCAAUGACUGGUUCUGCUCGAGAAGUGUGACAUAGCGAUGGACCGACGCGUGUGAAAUCAGAUGUCUCCACCGCACGCUGAAGUACUGCAUGUACUCGUUCUCCCAUUUUUAAAAACUGCACCCUCCAUGCUGCAGCAGAAAGAAAGAUUAGCACGCCAUGGAGAAGAAGGCAUGAAAAGAUUUAGAAAAACUUACCCCAUGAUGUUCGCACUUGUAGAAGUGCCUCCCCGGGUUUAGUUCAGCCCCGAAGACAAACCAGAGCACGUAGUCAGCGUUGCAUUCGGGGCAACGGAUGAGAGGGAGUGGAGGCAUCCGAUUGCUCGUGUGGUGGAAUGGACGUGGUGUUGAACUACUAUGGGACAUGGACGAACGCAUGAUUUGCAAGCCCAGCUAAGCUGUGAGGAAUGGAGAAGGGGAGCAGCUUCGAAUGGCCUUGUCCCACGCAAUAAAUGUCUUUGCGCAUCUCGUUCCCGCUUGGUGCAGCUAGCCGUUGUCACUACAUGCUGUCAUUUGGGCCUUUACUAUGGCGCGCAGACACGAAUACGAGCGUUAUACCAGCUGAUGUAAGCUGCUAGGGAAAAUUAUACGACAAUGUUGUAUUGCGCUAGCACGAAUCGCGUGGAGACGAGUGGUGCAGAUAACGACCUCGCGUGGCCGCAUGUGCACACGCAAUUUAUCAUAUACUUAUUUCUUAGAUAAAACAAAUGUUGGGCGUACAUUGGAUUGUAUAGUGGCUAGCACGUGAGGUAAUAACAAUUCUACCUUAAUAUCGGCCCAUACGUAUAGUUUCAAGAUGAGUUAAUUACACCUGGGGUACAUAAACUUUCGCGGCGGUAACGGAUUCAUACACAAACAAAAAAACCCCAUAAAAGUCAUACAUUAACUCUGAUGCGGAUUCGUUUAGCUACAAAAUGCAUGCAAAGUGGACAGAUGGGCUGCCACGCACGCAAUGGGGUCGGCCGUGUAUGCAUUUGUAUCUUUGUAGUUACCCCCCUCAGUUUACUGAGAUUUAACCCGUGGCCAUUCUCUCUGUAUCCCAAUCCCCUUCUUCAAAUCCCUAGCUGCGAAGGCGACGCGGCCGGCCCGGUCGUGCACCAUGGAGAGACGAUGCGGUCGUGCGCCAUGGAGAGGCGUUGGGAACAACAUCUUCAACCAAGCCGGUGGCUCUGUCAACGGCGGCUUGGACCAAACCGAUGGCGGCUCUGUCAACCAAGGCGGCGGCGGCGGCUCUGGCACCGGAUGCGACAUGGAUGGCGAGUGGAUAGUCACAUUAGAGCUUAGUUUUGGCUCCAAAAAAGCGAUGAAGGGGGCAUGCGGAAUUAGGGUUUCCAAUGAAGGAUUUGGUGCGGCUGAAUGUGGGUGCAAAUUGACGCCAGUUAUUAGGGUUUGCAAUGAAGGAUUUGAUGCAGGCCGACGAUUUCUGAGUUGUCCAUACGAGGGGUUAAACUCCUGUGGGUAUUUGAGGUGGAUGGAUGAUGCAUGGCAGGGGCAGAUCAAGGGUGGUAAUUGGAAAGCUUGCAAAUGACAACUAGAAGCUACAAAAUGCUUUGCUUGACAAGGAACAAGACAUUCAGAGGAUGAAGAAAGAGAGGAAUAAAUUAGAUGAUCAGAGAAAAAAUAGGGAAAAUUAGAUUUGUUUCUAGUACUUGUUGUUCUUGCAAGUGUAGUGAUUUAUGCUCUAGUUGCAUUGGUUAGUAGGGGAUUUGUGUGAGGAUUUCAAGUAUGUGUGACUAUAUGAUGAACAAGUUUUUCAAGUUUGAAAAUUUUC